rnacentral:rRNA from 1 species
UGAACGCUGGCGGUAGGCCUAACACAUGCAAGUCGAACGAGUGGCGGACGGGUGAGGAAUACAUCGGAAUCUACUCUGUCGUGGGGGAUAACGUAGGGAAACUUACGCUAAUACCGCAUACGAUUGAAUGAGCCGAUGUCGGAUUAGCUAGUUGGCGGGGUAAAGGCCCACCAAGGCGACGAUCCGUAGCUGGUCUGAGAGGAUGAUCAGCCACACUGGAACUGAGACACGGUCCAGACUCCUACGGGAGGCAGCAGUGGGGAAUAUUGGACAAUGGGCGCAAGCCUGAUCCAGCCAUACCGCGUGGGUGAAGAAGGCCUUCGGGUUGUAAAGCCCUUUUGUUGGGAAAGCGGUACCCAAAGAAUAAGCACCGGCUAACUUCGUGCCAGCAGCCGCGGUAAUACGAAGGGUGCAAGCGUUACUCGGAAUUACUGGGCGUAAAGCGUGCGUAGGUGGUCGUUUAAGUCCGUUGUGAAAGCCCUGGGCUCAACCUGGGAACUGCAGUGGAUACUGGACGACUAGAGUGUGGUAGAGGGUAGCGGAAUUCCUGGUGUAGCAGUGAAAUG